rnacentral:rRNA from 1 species
GCAGCAGUGGGGAAUAUUGGACAAUGGGCGAAAGCCUGAUCCAGCAAUGCCGCGUGAGUGAUGAAGGCCUUAGGGUUGUAAAGCUCUUUUACCCGGGAUGAUAAUGACAGUACCGGGAGAAUAAGCCCCGGCUAACUCCGUGCCAGCAGCCGCGGUAAUACGGAGGGGGCUAGCGUUGUUCGGAAUUACUGGGCGUAAAGCGCACGUAGGCGGCUUUGUAAGUUAGAGGUGAAAGCCCAGGGCUCAACCCUGGAAUUGCCUUUAAGACUGCAUCGCUAGAAUCAUGGAGAGGUGAGUGGAAUUCCGAGUGUAGAGGUGAAAUUCGUAGAUAUUCGGAAGAACACCAGUGGCGAAGGCGACUCACUGGACAUGUAUUGACGCUGAGGUGCGAAAGCGUGGGGAGCAAACAGGAUUAGAUAC